UCUGCUUUUCUUGACAGUACUUGCCUGUAAACUAAUCUUUAUGGUUCUUGGGCAAUGAGAAGAUGGUAAGCAGAAAGCAGAUAUUCCUCUCGCUAUCCAGCGCAGAAUUUCUUGUUAUGUGAUUGGACGUUGAGGAACUAAAUUG
rfam:Hordeum vulgare subsp. vulgare, WGS project CAJW01000000 data, contig: morex_contig_1568672